AUGAUAAGACUGCUGGGUCCUCUCCUUUACCUGGUGAGGGCUCUCCAAGUGAUCAAGACUGAACACAGACAACUCAUCAUAGAGUUUGGGCUGAGCUGGGUUUUCCUUGUUGCUCUUUUAAGAGGUGUCCAGUGUGAGGUGCAGCUGGUGGAGUCUGGGAGAGGCCUGGUGAAGCCUGGGGGGUCUCUGAGACUCUCCUGUGCAGCCUCUGGAUUCACCUUCAGCAGCUAUUACAUGGACUGGGUCCGCCAGGCUCCAGGAAAAGGGCUUGAGUGGGUCGCAUACAUUUAUAGUGAUGGUGGUAGCACACACUACGCCGACUCCGUGAAGGGCCGAUUCACCAUCUCCAGAGACAACGCCAAGAACACGCUGCAUCUGCAAAUGAACAGCCUGAGAGACGAGGACACGGCCGUGUAUUACUGUGCAGGAAACACAGAGAUGACACCAUUCAAGGGCAGUGGGAGCCUGCACCAGGGCUUGGUGUCCUGUCCCAGGUGCAACUGA